ACAAUAUUCAGGUACAGUUUUCUAAAUCUAACAGUAACAGAAAUACAAACUACAUCUGAACUGCCAACAUGGAGAGACAGAUGCUACUCUUGAUUCUCAUUGUGGUUCCAGGUGGAUUUUCAGACAAAAUUGAACCAAGAGAAGGAGAUAGUAAUUUAAUCAAGGAAGAAGGAGAAUUUGUGAAACUGAGCUGUACGUAUGAUGUGGGCAGCAAUAAUAUUUGGCUUUACUGGUACAGACAGUAUCCAAAUGGAGAACCUCGGUUUUUACUGCUCAAAGGUGCUCGAUCACAGACCUAUGAGAAUAUAGAAGACAAGCGGUUUCAGUCGACUACAUCCCAGUCAUCCACUGAACUCAUUCUUGAGAAAGCAGCUCUGUCAGAUUCUGCUCUCUAUUAUUGUGCUCUUCGAGUGGCCCAGUGAUACAAAAUACCAGAGAAGCUUUACAAAAACUUAGAUUAAAAAAAUGUGCUUUGAACAGUGUUUAAUCAAAUAGUAUCAAACCACAAUGUAUUUGCAUUUUUGUUUUUGAAAACCACAACUCUAAAAAUUAGAAUGUGGCAACACCUGUGAAUUUAGGAGAAUAUGAAAGGGAAUACACAGGUGGUAUGUGAAACUAUCUCUUAUCAGUUCUAUUUGAAUACAAGUUAGCAAAGAAUGAAGGAGUACUGUUUAUGAUGACCAGCAGAAUGUCUGGAAUUC